UCUGGGAAACUGCCUGAUGGAGGGGGAUAACUACUGGAAACGGUAGCUAAUACCGCAUAACGUCGCAAGACCAAAGAGGGGGACCUUCGGGCCUCUUGCCAUCGGAUGUGCCCAGAUGGGAUUAGCUAGUAGGUGGGGUAACGGCUCACCUAGGCGACGAUCCCUAGCUGGUCUGAGAGGAUGACCAGCCACACUGGAACUGAGACACGGUCCAGACUCCUACGGGAGGCAGCAGUGGGGAAUAUUGCACAAUGGGCGCAAGCCUGAUGCAGCCAUGCCGCGUGUAUGAAGAAGGCCUUCGGGUUGUAAAGUACUUUCAGCGGGGAGGAAGGGAGUAAAGUUAAUACCUUUGCUCAUUGACGUUACCCGCAGAAGAAGCACCGGCUAACUCCGUGCCAGCAGCCGCGGUAAUACGGAGGGUGCAAGCGUUAAUCGGAAUUACUGGGCGUAAAGCGCACGCAGGCGGUUUGUUAAGUCAGAUGUGAAAUCCCCGGGCUCAACCUGGGAACUGCAUCUGAUACUGGCAAGCUUGAGUCUCGUAGAGGGGGGUAGAAUUCCNGGUGUAGCGGUGAAAUGCGUAGAGAUCUGGAGGAAUACCGGUGGCGAANGCGGCCCCCUGGACGAAGACUGACGCUCAGGUGCGAAAGCGUGGGGAGCAAACAGGAUUAGAUACCC
rnacentral:rRNA from 1 species